GGAGAACAGCAGGCACAGAAAAAGGGAUGCUAACUGGGUUUCCUAAGUAAUAGCUUUUUGUUGUGUCUUUUGGGUCGCAGAAAGUGAAGAAAUGUGCACAGUCUGCUGUUUCACAGAGUGAUUUCACAUUUAGCCUGAUGCAUAUUUGCAUGUUUUAUGUAUAGAUGAAGUGAACUUUAUAAGGGAUUUAAUGCAAUGCCUGUGGCCCAGCUCUUGGAAAAAGCUGAAGUGACUGGCUGAAGCAUGCAUUCAGGAUCUGCAUUUACGAGUUUGCAGUUUCAGGCUGGCCUCAGUCAUAUCUGGAGAACAGCAUGUGUUCCAGAUACUGUCAAAGGCAGCAAACUGCUGAAAAAAUCCUGCCAAAGCAACAGCUGAAGCAAUGAGAGCUUUCAGUUUCUUACAACUCCAUUUAACUGUGUGCUUAAGAGCAACUCAUUAAGUAGCAAGCAACCGUGUGAGGGGAUGCCAAAGAUUAAAGGAAUCCUGUCAUGAGAUAGUGGUGACAUUUGCCUGCUGCUUUCCAAGUGACAGUGCUUGCCAAGCCCGGGGGAAGCCAGUGACAGCCCACAGCAGAGCAUCAAUUUAAGCAGCAGAUUGGCAGGAACGGUGCCUGCUUUGAAUAUGAAUGCUUGAGCCACGCUCGUGGUAGGUCCAAUUUGUGAAUCCUGUCAGGAGAAAGAGUGCUACAGAAACCAAUUACCUUUUACACACAUUUUCAUGUGUGUGUAAGCAUCCAGGUGGAUCUAGCUCAAGCAAGUCUCUUGAACUGAUAAAUCAGUGCCUGCAGUGGCAAGCACAAAGGCACAGGGGCUAUUGUGCCACUGACUCAGCAGUGAACACAGGGAACAAUGCUCUUCCACUUCAAGAGUCCCUAUGACUGUUGUGACCUCAUGGAAACAAAGAGCAGCUCUGAAUUUCCCACCUCGGGGCGUCAGAAGGCAUUCAAGACACCAGCAGACUCAUCAGGACAUCUUCAGCCCUCUGAGUGGCUUCCCUGAGCUCUCUGAAGCCCAGAAAUCCCAGGCUUCACUACCUGUGCACCUGUGUGACUUUGCAGAAGCAUAUUGAUGUCUGUGGAGUGCACUGGCCAUUCCAACGAUCCUGCAGGCUUGGUAAUCACCUCUCAUCCAGGAAGACUGAGAGCACUGAAAUGGACUUUAGCACAAUUAUAAAAAUUUUUCACGAGGUUU